ensembl:lncRNA
CAAUGACUACAACCUACCUUUUAACAGGUACAGUUCUGCACAAACAUGCCAGUCUCAUUGCUACCAGGCCUAUCUGUGUUGUUCCUGUCAUAAGUUUUAGUGUCAGGUUAUCUUCAUACAAUCAUCUACUUCCUCAUUUACUCAGUGGCCUCAUGAUUAUAUAUAGGGAUGGAAAAACACAGAUACAUUUCACAACAGAUAUUCAUUUAAAUAUGCACAUCACACAGUAUAAUCAACCACACACAUGCAGUUGCUGAAUCGCUUGAUGUGCUACGCAGAAGAGUGUAGAGGUAGAGGAAGGGGUGGACCUCACACCUUUGAGUGGGCAGAACACAAGACCAGAGCUAAUGUUGAACAGGAAGAGACUAAUUAUAAAUCGUGUACAAGUGCACACACUCUAUGCAGUGGAGAUCAGACGCCGGACAUUACAGACCUCUGGACUGAAAGCAAUCCAGAAUGGAGAUUCUUGCUCUUUCACUCUUACUCAUUCUCUCAGGUGGAGUUAAUACCUUUACUGUGACUGGACACAAAGGAGGUGCUGUCAUCUUUAAGUGUAAAUAUGAUGAGCUCUAUAAAAACCACAUAAAGUAUCUCUGCAAAGCAUCAGGGCCUUCGUGUUCCAGAGACAUAAAGGCAGACAAUUAUGCUAGCCCUGAGCCUGGACCCAAGUUCUCUCUCAAUGACAACCCAUCAGAGGGAAACGUCAUGGUGUUGAUCACUCAGUUGACUGAAGAGGACAGUGGAAACUACAAGUGUGGGGUGGAUAAUAUUCUUCCAGUGACAUCUACUGACCUACGGCUGGAGGUUAAGAAAGGUGAAGGGAAUCCUACCACAGUGGUUGGCCUUCAAGGGGGAAGUGCUGAGUUAAGCUGCACUUUCCCUGAAUCCUACAAAGACAGAACCAAGUUCCUCUGCCAGCAUCAGAGAGUGUUAACCUGCAUCAAACUCACCUCACCUGGAACACAGAGAAGAAAAAUACAAACGUUAUCCUCUGUUAAAAAAGAAGACAAAUUACCUUCUAAAA